GGUAAAAAAGGAGAGCAAGGUUAUGAAGGGGCACCUGGUCAAAAAGGCUCAAGGGGGGAAACAGGAGCACCUGGUCUUCCAGGAAUCAACGGUCCAGAGGGAAGACCUGGGUUCAAAGGUGA